ACGAACGCUGGCGGCGUGCCUAAUACAUGCAAGUCGAACGAAGCUUUCUUUCACCGAAUGCUUGCAUUCACCGAAAGAAGCUUAGUGGCGAACGGGUGAGUAACACGUAGGCAACCUGCCCAAAAGAGGGGGAUAACACUUGGAAACAGGUGCUAAUACCGCAUAACCAUGAACACCGCAUGAUGUUCAUGUAAAAGACGGCUUUUGCUGUCACUUUUGGAUGGGCCUGCGGCGUAUUAACUUGUUGGUGGGGUAACGGCCUACCAAGGUGAUGAUACGUAGCCGAACUGAGAGGUUGAUCGGCCACAUUGGGACUGAGACACGGCCCAAACUCCUACGGGAGGCAGCAGUAGGGAAUCUUCCACAAUGGACGAAAGUCUGAUGGAGCAACGCCGCGUGAAUGAAGAAGGCCUUCGGGUCGUAAAAUUCUGUUGUCAGAGAAGAACGUGCGUGAGAGUAACUGUUCACGUAUUGACGGUAUCUGACCAGAAAGCCACGGCUAACUACGUGCCAGCAGCCGCGGUAAUACGUAGGUGGCGAGCGUUGUCCGGAUUUAUUGGGCGUAAAGGGAACGCAGGCGGUCUUUUAAGUCUGAUGUGAAAGCCUUCGGCUUAACCGAAGUAGUGCAUUGGAAACUGGAAGACUUGAGUGCAGAAGAGGAGAGUGGAACUCCAUGUGUAGCGGUGAAAUGCGUAGAUAUAUGGAAGAACACCAGUGGCGAAAGCGGCUCUCUGUUCUGUAACUGACGCUGAGGUUCGAAAGCGUGGGUAGCAAACAGGAUUAGAUACCCUGGUAGUCCACGCCGUAAACGAUGAGUGCUAAGUGUUGGAGGGUUUCCGCCCUUCAGUGCUGCAGCUAACGCAUUAAGCACUCCGCCUGGGGAGUACGGUCGCAAGACUGAAACUCAAAGGAAUUGACGGGGGCCCGCACAAGCGGUGGAGCAUGUGGUUUAAUUCGAAGCAACGCGAAGAACCUUACCAGGUCUUGACAUCUUCUGACAAUUCCAGAGAUGGAACGUUCCCUUCGGGGACAGAAUGACAGGUGGUGCAUGGUUGUCGUCAGCUCGUGUCGUGAGAUGUUGGGUUAAGUCCCGCAACGAGCGCAACCCUUAUUGUCAGUUGCCAUCAUUAAGUUGGGCACUCUGGCGAGACUGCCGGUGACAAACCGGAGGAAGGUGGGGAUGACGUCAAAUCAUCAUGCCCCUUAUGACCUGGGCUACACACGUGCUACAAUGGACGGUACAACGAGUCGCUAACUCGCGAGGGCAAGCUAAUCUCUUAAAGCCGUUCUCAGUUCGGAUUGCAGGCUGCAACUCGCCUGCAUGAAGUCGGAAUCGCUAGUAAUCGCGAAUCAGCAUGUCGCGGUGAAUACGUUCCCGGGCUUUGUACACACCGCCCGUCACACCAUGAGAGUUUGUAACACCCGAAGUCGGUGGGGUAACCUUUUGGAGCCAGCCGCCUAAGGUGGGACAGAUGAUUGGGGUG
rnacentral:rRNA from 1 species